UUUUAUGAGAGUUUGAUCCUGGCUCAGGACGAACGCUGGCGGCGUGCCUAAUACAUGCAAGUCGAACGCAUUUUCUUUCACCGUAGCUUGCUACACCGGAAGAAAAUGAGUGGCGAACGGGUGAGUAACACGUGGGUAACCUGCCCAUCAGCGGGGGAUAACACUUGGAAACAGGUGCUAAUACCGCAUAAUUCCAUUUACCGCAUGGUAGAUGGAUGAAAGGCGCUUUU
rnacentral:rRNA from 1 species